GUGACCUCAAAUCAGGUAGGACUACCCGCUGAACUUAAGCAUAUCAAUAAGCGGAGGAAAAGAAACUAACAAGGAUUCCCCUAGUAACUGCGAGUGAAGCGGGAAAAGCUCAAAUUUAAAAUCUGGCAGUCUUUGGCUGUCCGAGUUGUAAUCUAGAGAAGUGUUAUCCGCGCUGGACCGUGUACAAGUCUCCUGGAAUGGAGCGUCAUAGAGGGUGAGAAUCCCGUCUUUGACACGGACUACCAGGGCUUUGUGAUGCGCUCUCAAAGAGUCGAGUUGUUUGGGAAUGCAGCUCAAAAUGGGUGGUAAAUUCCAUCUAAAGCUAAAUAUUGGCGAGAGACCGAUAGCGAACAAGUACCGUGAGGGAAAGAUGAAAAGAACUUUGGAAAGAGAGUUAAACAGUACGUGAAAUUGCUGAAAGGGAAACGCUUGAAGUCAGUCGCGUUGUCCAGGGAUCAACCUUGCUUUUGCUUGGUGCACUUUCUGGUUGACGGGUCAGCAUCAAUUUUGACCAUUGGAAAAAGAUUGAGGGAAUGUGACAUCUUCGGAUGUGUUAUAGCCCUUGGUUGCAUACGAUGGUUGGGAUUGAGGAACUCAGCACGCCGCAAGGCCGGGUUUUUAACCACGUACGUGCUUAGGAUGCUGGCAUAAUGGCUUUAAUCGACCCGUC
rnacentral:rRNA from 1 species